UCCUUGGUGGUCCAGCAGUUAAGACUCAGCACUUUCACUGCUAUGACCCAGGUUCAGUACCUGGUCAGAGAA
rnacentral:tRNA from 1 species